rnacentral:rRNA from 1 species
AUUGAACGCUGGCGGAAUGCUUUACACAUGCAAGUCGAACGGCAGCACGGGGGCAACCCUGGUGGCGAGUGGCGAACGGGUGAGUAAUACAUCGGAACGUGCCCAGUCGUGGGGGAUAACGUAGCGAAAGCUACGCUAAUACCGCAUACGAUCUCUGGAUGAAAGCGGGGACCGCAAGGCCUCGCGCGAUUGGAGCGGCCGAUGGCAGAUUAGGUAGUUGGUGGGGUAAAGGCUCACCAAGCCGACGAUCUGUAGCUGGUCUGAGAGGACGACCAGCCACACUGGGACUGAGACACGGCCCAGACUCCUACGGGAGGCAGCAGUGGGGAAUUUGGACAAUGGCGAAAGCCUGAUCAGCCAUUCCGCGUGCAGGAUGAAG